rnacentral:rRNA from 1 species
AAAUUGAAGAGUUUGAUCAUGGCUCAGAUUGAACGCUGGCGGCAGGCCUAACACAUGCAAGUCGAGCGGUAGCACAGAGAGCUUGCUCUCGGGUGACGAGCGGCGGACGGGUGAGUAAUGUCUGGGAAACUGCCUGAUGGAGGGGGAUAACUACUGGAAACGGUAGCUAAUACCGCAUAAUGUCGCAAGACCAAAGUGGGGGACCUUCGGGCCUCAUGCCAUCAGAUGUGCCCAGAUGGGAUUAGCUAGUAGGUGGGGUAAUGGCUCACCUAGGCGACGAUCCCUAGCUGGUCUGAGAGGAUGACCAGCCACACUGGAACUGAGACACGGUCCAGACUCCUACGGGAGGCAGCAGUGGGGAAUAUUGCACAAUGGGCGCAAGCCUGAUGCAGCCAUGCCGCGUGUGUGAAGAAGGCCUUCGGGUUGUAAAGCACUUUCAGCGGGGAGGAAGGCGGUGAGGUUAAUAACCUCAUCGAUUGACGUUACCCGCAGAAGAAGCACCGGCUAACUCCGUGCCAGCAGCCGCGGUAAUACGGAGGGUGCAAGCGUUAAUCGGAAUUACUGGGCGUAAAGCGCACGCAGGCGGUCUGUCAAGUCGGAUGUGAAAUCCCCGGGCUCAACCUGGGAACUGCAUUCGAAACUGGCAGGCUAGAGUCUUGUAGAGGGGGGUAGAAUUCCAGGUGUAGCGGUGAAAUGCGUAGAGAUCUGGAGGAAUACCGGUGGCGAAGGCGGCCCCCUGGACAAAGACUGACGCUCAGGUGCGAAAGCGUGGGGAGCAAACAGGAUUAGAUACCCUGGUAGUCCACGCCGUAAACGAUGUCGAUUUGGAGGUUGUGCCCUUGAGGCGUGGCUUCCGGAGCUAACGCGUUAAAUCGACCGCCUGGGGAGUACGGCCGCAAGGUUAAAACUCAAAUGAAUUGACGGGGGCCCGCACAAGCGGUGGAGCAUGUGGUUUAAUUCGAUGCAACGCGAAGAACCUUACCUGGUCUUGACAUCCACAGAACUUAGCAGAGAUGCUUUGGUGCCUUCGGGAACUGUGAGACAGGUGCUGCAUGGCUGUCGUCAGCUCGUGUUGUGAAAUGUUGGGUUAAGUCCCGCAACGAGCGCAACCCUUAUCCUUUGUUGCCAGCGGUCCGGCCGGGAACUCAAAGGAGACUGCCAGUGAUAAACUGGAGGAAGGUGGGGAUGACGUCAAGUCAUCAUGGCCCUUACGACCAGGGCUACACACGUGCUACAAUGGCAUAUACAAAGAGAAGCGACCUCGCGAGAGCAAGCGGACCUCAUAAAGUAUGUCGUAGUCCGGAUUGGAGUCUGCAACUCGACUCCAUGAAGUCGGAAUCGCUAGUAAUCGUAGAUCAGAAUGCUACGGUGAAUACGUUCCCGGGCCUUGUACACACCGCCCGUCACACCAUGGGAGUGGGUUGCAAAAGAAGUAGGUAGCUUAACCUUCGGGAGGGCGCUUACCACUUUGUGAUUCAUGACUGGGGUGAAGUCGUAACAAGGUAACCGUAGGGGAACCUGCGGUUGGAUCACCUCCUUA